UUCAGUGUUCAUUAGUGUUAAUUAGUGUAACAUCGGGAGUUGUUUGAACAAACAUGUACACCCACGGUGUAAUUAAAACUCACAACUUAGUGUUUUAAGUGGGUGUGAAUGUACGUACUCUGGGGUGGAGUCAUUUACACUUCCGGUUCUUCAGUUGAGAUUUUUGAAAAGAAGAUGGACGCCAUUGAAGUACAGCGUGGGAUAGUAAAAGGGUCAGCAAAAUGCUCAUCAAUGUCCAGUACCAUGGAGAAAAAAGUACCUCAAACUGCAGCCUGGUUUUUCUUUUGAAAGUUUCAUUCGAGAAGGCACAUCAGUCCACUGGUGCAAAAGAAGAGAACACCUCUGCCAUAGGAGAUUCAGCAGAAAAAGGUCAAACAGAUGGUCCAGGAGGUUCUGGAGAAGAGUUAAAUGGGAGAGGAAAUAAUGGAGGAGUAUAGUAGAGCACCUUGACACACUGUACAAAAAGGCAUCUUCUGAAUAU